GCUGCAUCUGUUUGGAGGAAGAGCAAUGUCAGAAACAGUGUUCAAGCGAAUGGAAGAUUAGGAAGUAAUCAUUUUUCCCAGCCGGAUCCUCUUCCACACGGCUUUGGGAUGAACACGCCGGACUGGCUUGUAUGAUGCCGAUGGUUGCUGGGGGGCCGCGAAGGCCUGCUGCGGCACCGAGGGACGCUGGGGGGGCAGGUAGGCCUGCCCUGGCACUACCGGGUGUGGGGGGUCCAGGUAGAUCUGCUGCGGCACAGAGGGACGCAGGGGGUCCAGGUAGGCCUUCCCCGGCGCUAAUGGACGCAGGGGGUCCAGGUAGGCCUGCCCCGGCGCUGAGGGGCGCAGGGGGUCCAGGUAGGCCUGCCCCGGCGCUGAGGGGCGCAGGGGGUCCAGGUAGGCCUGCCCCGGCGCUGAGGGACGCUGAGGGAACAGGUAGGCCUGCCCCGGCGCUGAGGGGCGCGGGGGGUCCAGGUAGAUCUGCAGCGAGGGACGCUGAGGGAACAGGUAGGCCUUCCCCGGCGCUAACGGGCGCUGGGGUUCCAGGUAGAUCUGCUGCGGCACCGAGGGACGCUGAGGGAACAGGUAGGCCUUCCCCGGCGCUAACGGGCGCGGGGGGUCCAGGUAGAUCUGCUGCGGCGCUGAGGGACGCUGAGGGUCCACGUAUUCCUGCUGCCGUACAGGCUGGCGCCCGGGAGCCCUGCCGGUCGGCUUACUGUAUAUCACGCUCUCCUUCUCAGCGGGUUCCUUCAGUUGUAUGAUGGCGUGGCCACCGAAGCGCUCGGGGAUGGAGAUGGGUCCGAAGUGCUGCGCAGAGGUCCUGGACGCAGGGAGGUCACGGGCGCCCUGCGCCGGGUUACUGCCGCGCCAGGGGGUUUUGCGGUAGAUCUUACUGCCGGGCCUCUGCUUGGAGAAGCUCGUUGUUCCACUGGCUUCGUUGGACGCCGUAGACUGGCUGUGACGUUGGGGGAUAAAGGUGACGUGGGGCGCUGAAGCAGGCGUGUAGCUUUGUUGGGCUUGUCCUGCCUUCAUAGGGACCUCUGGGUGUUGGUUUCCAGCCUCCGGCCAACUCGGGAUAUUUCCAUUUCUCUCACUUGUUGGUGAGGACAAACGGGUCGGGUUAGAUGCCUCAGAGCCCAGACGCGAAGACACCAGUGUGGCGAACGCGCUGGCCGAUGUCGCCGUGCGACCAGGGAUUUGGUUUAGCAGAGCAGCAUCUAUGUCAGCAUCCAUGUCCAACAGGCUCAACGGAUAGUUGCCAGUACUCGGUGUAUUUGACCAAGUUCCCCUGCUAAUGGUAGUUUGAUGGUGCGUUUCAAAUGAACCACCACCAAUAAGAGCAGUAGAAAGGCCAAAUAUUUGCAGUGGCAUAGUUUCCUGAUUCAAGUUGGGUUUUGACUCAGAGCUGCUCUGCACCAACCCGGCAAAAACGCUGCUUGGU
ensembl:lncRNA